GUGGGGAAUAUUGGGCAAUGGGGGAAACCCUGACCCAGCGACGCCGCGUGAGGGAAGAAGGCCUUCGGGUUGUAAACCUCUGUCCUUGGUGACGAAAAAAAUGACGGUAGCCAAGGAGGAAGCCCCGGCUAACUACGUGCCAGCAGCCGCGGUAAUACGUAGGGGGCGAGCGUUGUCCGGAAUUACUGGGCGUAAAGGGUGCGUAGGUGGCCUUUUAAGUUGGAUGUGAAAUACCCGGGCUUAACUUGGGGGGUGCAUCUAAUACUGGAGGGCUAGAGUGCAGGAGAGGGAAGCGGAAUUCCUAGGGUAGCGGUGAAAUGCGUAGAUAUUAGGAGGAACACCAGUGGCGAAGGCGGCUUUCUGGACUGUAACUGACACUGAGGCACGAAAGCGUGGGGAGCAAACAGGAUUAGAUACCCGAGUAGUCC
rnacentral:rRNA from 1 species